AGUGAACGCUGGCGGUAGGCCUAACACAUGCAAGUCGAACGGCAGCACAGUAAGAGCUUGCUCUUACGGGUGGCGAGUGGCGGACGGGUGAGGAAUACAUCGGAAUCUACUUUUUCGUGGGGGAUAACGUAGGGAAACUUACGCUAAUACCGCAUACGACCUACGGGUGAAAGCAGGGGAUCUUCGGACCUUGCGCGAUUGAAUGAGCCGAUGUCGGAUUAGCUAGUUGGCGGGGUAAAGGCCCACCAAGGCGACGAUCCGUAGCUGGUCUGAGAGGAUGAUCAGCCACACUGGAACGGAGACACGGUCCAGAGGACUACGGGAGGCAGCAGUGGGGAAUAUUGGACAAUGGGCGCAAGCCUGAUCCAGCCAUACCGCGUGGGUGAAGAAGGCCUUCGGGUUGUAAAGCCCUUUUGUUGGGAAAGAAAAGCAGCAGGUUAAUACCCCGCUGUUCUGACGGUACCCAAAGAAUAAGCACCGGCUAACUUCGUG
rnacentral:rRNA from 1 species